rnacentral:rRNA from 1 species
CCUACGGGUGGCUGCAGUGAGGAAUAUUGGUCAAUGGUCGGGAGACUGAACCAGCCAAGCCGCGUGAGGGAUGAAGGUACAGAGUAUCGUAAACCUCUUUUGUCAGGGAACAAAGGCGGGGACGUGUCCCCGGAUGAGUGUACCUGAAGAAAAAGCAUCGGCUAACUCCGUGCCAGCAGCCGCGGUAAUACGGAGGAUGCGAGCGUUAUCCGGAUUUAUUGGGUUUAAAGGGUGCGCAGGCGGUCUGUUAAGUUAGCGGUGAAAGCCCCGGGCUUAACCCGGGAGCGGCCGUUGAAACGGUCAGUCUAGAGUGGGGGAGAGGUAGGCGGAAUGCGCGGUGUAGCGGUGAAAUGCAUAGAUAUCGCGCAGAACUCCGAUUGCGAAGGCAGCAUGCCGGCUCCACACUGACGCUGAGGCACGAAAGCGUGGGUAUCGAACAGGAUUAGAUACCCGAGUAGUC